rnacentral:rRNA from 1 species
AGAACGAACGCUGGCGGCGUGGAUAAGACAUGCAAGUCGAACGCGACUUAUUUUGUUAGCAAUAACAGAGUAAGUUGAGUGGCGAAAGGGUGCGUAACACGUGGGAAUUUACCAAGAAGUGGGGAAUAGCUCGACGAAAGUCGAAUUAAUACCGCAUGUGAUCGAGAGAUCAAAGUCGGGGACCGCAAGGCCUGACGCUUUUUGAGAAGCCCGCGGCCCAUCAGCUAGUUGGCGGGGUAAAAGCCCACCAAGGCUAUGACGGGUAGCUGGUCUGAGAGGACGACCAGCCACACUGGAACUGAGACACGGUCCAGACACCUACGGGUGGCAGCAGUCGAGAAUUUUUUCACAAUGGACGAAAGUCUGAUGGAGCGACGCCGCGUGGAGGAUGAAGGUUCUUGGAUUGUAAACUCCUGUCACUGCAGAACAAGGGUACGUUCGUUAAUAGCAAACGUAUUUGAUGGUAUGCGGAGAGGAAGGGACGGCUAACUCUGUGCCAGCAG